GGCCUACCAUGGUGGUAACGGGUAACGGGGUGUUAGGGCACGACACCGGAGAGGGAGCCUGAGAAACGGCUACCACAUCCAAGGAUGGCAGCAGGCGCGCAAAUUACCCAAUCCCGACACGGGGAGGUAGUGACAAUAAAUAACAAUACGGGGUUCUUUUGGAUCUCGUAAUUGGAAUGAGUACAAUUUAAAUCUCUUAACGAGGAACAAUUGGAGGGCAAGUCUGGUGCCAGCAGCCGCGGUAAUUCCAGCUCCAAUAGCGUAUAUUAAAGUUGUUGCAGUUAAAAAGCUCGUAGUUGAAUUUCGGGGUCAGUAGGUUGGUCGUGCCACUGGUAUGUACUGGCUUCACUGAUUCCUCCCUCUUGUAGAACUGUAAUGCCAUUAAGUUGGUGUUGCGGGGAAACAGGACUGUUACUUUGAAAAAAUUAGAGUGUUUAAAGCAGGCUUACGCUUGAAUACAUUAGCAUGGAAUAAUGAAAUAGGACGAUCGAUCCUAUUUUGUUGGUUUCUAGGAUUGACGUAAUGAUUAAUAGGGAUAGUUGGGGGCAUUAGUAUUCAAUUGUCAGAGGUGAAAUUCUUGGAUUUAUUGAAGACUAACUACUGCGAAAGCAUUUGCCAAGGAUGUUUUCAUUAAUCAAGAACGAAAGUUAGGGGAUCGAAGACGAUCAGAUACCGUCGUAGUCUUAACCAUAAACUAUGCCGACUAGGGAUCGGAUGAUGUUAAUUUUUUAAUGACUCAUUCGGCGCCUUACG
rnacentral:rRNA from 1 species